UUUUGAAACAUCAUCUGUCGUACUAUUAUCGUUGAUGAUCUCCCAGAUAUUAAAACUCCAUUAAGUUUAGAAAAGGAAGUAGAAGACUUUAGAAAUUGAGUUCUAAGAUGGUCGGAAAAGGUUCCGCCACCGUAAAGUCACCAAUAAAAAGUAAGAAGUGUGAUAAACAAGUGUCCGCUGCUAAUCACAUUGUUUAAGAGAUUCUACCCAACUAAUUUAAUUAUGUGGGAGAACGUGCCUAGUGGAAUAAAAUAAUAGGCCAAAAGGGUAACCGAAAUACUUCUGCGAACAAUUACCCAUCCCUCAUCCAAUUUGAGCAUCUCUCCCUUAUCCAGAAAGAAUGUCAUCGGAAGGAUGAGUUCCCCAUUGAACCUGCUCGAGCAAAUGAGUGAAUCACUAGUUAUCGAGAGGGUUUUUUCAUCUGUCUACAUGUAUCCGUUCAUUCUACGAUUCAAUCUUGCAAUUAACCCCGUGAUAUAAGCUUUUUACAGACACUAAAAUGUUUGUUUAGCCCAAAUAGGUGCAACUGUUUAGAGGGUCAUAGCGUGCCUUCAUUCUUUAUCGAACUUGGCUUAAGUAGAUUUUACUCUUUUCCACCUUCUUUAUCUUUAUUCUCCCAAACUUUUUCAUGCUAGAGUGUCCACUCUUAAAAAUUGCAAAAGCGAGUUCUUUUCAACCUCAAGGAUGACUAAGAUCGCGGGUAGUAUGAAAGGUUCAUGGUCGUACCUACCUAAGAUCUGAUUCAGCUUAUUGAUCAUUCUUUCCGUGAAAAUGGAACUUCUCCCUAAGUUUUGUUAUUACUUGUGAAAUAACCCUUUUUUAUUUAAUAUUAUUAAUGCUUUUCUUAUAUUGUAGCGACUAUGUAGAUAAUUGGGAAAGUCUCGGAUUUUGAUAGUUAGGGGGAAAUGACAUUGCCUUCCACUUCUAUGGAUCAAAUAACCUGAAAGCAUAUCUCGAAAAUAUUUGGAUAGAAAGCUAUGAAGCAUGGCCCAAGGUAAAUGAAUCUCAAGAAGAGAUUUUGAAGCUCGCCACUUUGAAACGGAAAAGCAAAGAUUCUUCAACUUUUGCUCUGGCAAUGACCAUAUUAGCUCUCUGGAGAAGAAAGCAAAAUCUGGCAAAGAGAAGGCCAAAAUAUUAGGGGAUGACCAGAGCAGCCCCCGAGUUAGCCCCCUAAAUACUCAACUUUGUCUCUGAGAUGAGCCCGAGGAUGAUCCUAUCUUCGUGGAGGAUAGUGAAGAAAAAAACUGUGGGGUGCGUGUAGAGAAACCAACCCCUGCUCCCACUUUGGAGUCGGUCGAGGCUCUAUGUGUUGCAAGUUUUGAUGGUCCAUAGAUUGGGAUCAUCCUUUCGAGAUCCAACACUCUGUGCGUCCCCCUUAUUCUUCUGCUUCAGAACAUCUGCCUAACAUUUUUACUCGUGAAGGUAGCGGUCCCUCUACGGAGGCAAAGAUGCAUCGGGUUGUAACUGAGAUUCUUGAGGAUGUUAAUCUCUAACACCGUCCCAAUAAAGUUUUCCCUCCGUUAAAGAGGUUGAUUGUCCCUUGCGAACAAGGAAAAUUCAAUGUCCAUUCUACUGCCAGUUUGGUCAAUGCCAUGCUCCACUCCACUCUCCGGGUGUAUUUUCCUUUUCUUUCUUCCUUUUUAUUUUGUUUACAUUUUAUAUUUCGAUAAUUAAUAUGACUUUGAUUUUGCAGUGCAAUUUGAACGGCACAGAGGUGUUGAAGGGAAUUACAUACUACGAGGAGACCAUUGCGGAGCUAGCGGUAGACCAUAGAUAUUGGAAGUCUCGGCGAAGGGGCUUCAGGAGGAGAAGGAGGCUUUAGAGUAACAGGCUAAGCUGGUUACUGCAGAACUGAAGUAUACUAUAGCAGAAAUGAAGCAAUUGGAGGCCAUGUUCAUUAAUCAAAAUUCAAAUCUACCGAGGAGAUUCAGAGCCUUAAAAAUUUACUUGCAUAGAAAAAUAUAUACUCGAGUCAACUAGUGCACGAGUAUACCCAGGCUAAGGUAGAUCUAUGUGCAUCGAGCGAUAAAUUGAGGUUUCUCAUUGCGUCGGUUGACCCAUUGACGGCAUCUCUUAAUGCUUUCGAAGCUGAGAAGAUAGAUCUCUGUGCUAAGAGCAACUAGGUGGUUGCAAAGUACAAGGCCUUCAAAUUCCAAUUCGAUAUUUAUCUGAAUUGGAUGUUCUUGCAAACCCGUGAAACGUUGAAGGAGGUUCAUGUUGAAGCUUAGAUCUGGAGGCAAAAUCUGAGAAGGCAAAGGAAGUAGUAGAGAUGACCCAGCAGGCUAUGAGUUCUUCUUCCCCCGAAGAAGAAUCCUCGACAGGAUGAGACUGUUGAAGCCGAGCGUACUAAAUUGCACACUACAUCACUAACUUCUCAAGUUGAUCCUUGUCGAAUGUUCAUGUUGUCUUAGCUUUUGGAUUUCACUUACAUUAUAUUUAGUUUUUGGGUUUGUCUUGUUAACAUCUAAGCUUUUUGCCUAAUAUUUGGAACAUUUUGCAUUUUUGUUUC